CUUGCGGCGUUAGGGGGGUUUUUUUGUUGUUGGUUUUGUUUUUUUGGUUUUUUUUGCACAAGCUUCCCACUGUUACCACCGGGGGAGGGAUGGUCCCCGACGUAGGCAGACGCCCUCCCCUCUGGGAAAACUACAGAUCCCAUCAGACCGCCAAAUCGCCUUCUCUCGUGAGGCACCAGGGAAGAGCCAGGCGCAUUGCUCACUGGGAAUUGUAGUCGUUUGCAGUCAUCCUAUCAGAAGACGUGUGCGUGGACUGGCCAAUCGGCGCUCAGAGAAGUUACGGGCGGUGGGACUUCCGGUAUCUGCUAGUGAGCUGUGGAGGGGAAAAAAGCCUGGACCUAUAUUCAGGAUACUGUCCCUAGGCAAUUCAGAGGUUGUACAUUGUAGAGGACUCUACUGCCUCCAAUGGGAGAAGACCUCCUGGUACAGAUUAUCUGAUGGAGAAAGACUGAUGGCUAUGGUGACAGGAACCUUUCCCUAACCCCACAGCAUCUGAAUUAAUUCCAAACAAUAGAUAGCUUUGUGAGAACCAGGGCGCCACCCCCCACCGAGAAAGACACAAGGUGACCUUUCUAAAGUCUGGAAGUCACAUCACAAUUCAUGGACCACCUUCAAGUCAUGUCAAUCAAUGGAUUUGAAUGCUACUAGCCAAUUAACUUGGAGUUGUGUGUGGGGACUGCCCCUCUUCUGGUCUGCAGGAAGCUUCCACUUGAACAGAUGGAGAAACUAUCUUUUUGGUGGCGUGGCUGGAACAAGCUUAUGGUGGCAGAAGCAGCGGUCCAGGGUGAACAGGUUUCCUAUCUUUCUGAACUUCACAUGUUCUCUAUUGGAUAGCUAGGUGAAGGUGGCUUUCUCUCUCUCUCUCUUU